rnacentral:lncRNA from 1 species
UUUUUUUUUUUUUUUUUUUUUUUUUUAAAACUAUGAUAUCUUGACCACAAAGGAACAGAUCCCGGUAAUGUCUCGGCCAAGGUCAGGCAUAGAGUUCAGAGCAUAGAGCGAGUUUGACUGUCUAAUUUUUAGGAGACCUGUUGAGCAGAUAGGUGUGUGGGGUGGGUGGAGCUGUGUGGGUAUGCAAAGGGUGGGUGUGGCUUUGAGGAUCAGUCAGUUUGUCAGUCUAUCCUUCAGUCUGCCUGGUCCAUCGGUUGGUCGGUCGGUCGGUCGGUAGUCCUUCAGCCUGUUGGACCCAGGAAGGUGCUGCUGUUCUCAGUCGACAAAUCCUACGAGUCCGGGGCCUAAGACGGAGAGACCAGAAUGGAGGCCCUAAUGUGAAUGGAGACUAGCCUGCUGGUAGAGACCUUGGCAGUGACCGCUGUGGGCAAUGAGCCAUGGGCCAACAAUAUUCAAUGCUGUGUACCUGAUGGAUGGUUACUGUCUGAGACUGAGGCUUUUUGGGCCAGGAGUAAAAGGACUUGGUUUGUACUUGAUUGCGUCCUGUGGAUGCUUGCCUACCAACUGACUCAUCCUGACGUGCCAAAGGUCCUGGCUUUCCCCUGUGUGGGUAAGGGAAGAAGAGAGUUCUGACCCCUGAUUUAAUUAUUUACUGUGGAACCAUUGUCCUGAGUCAGGAGGAUAGAUGAGGAAAGAAUGAGAGCGUGGCUGGCAUCGCUUCAUGAUUACAUUCUGGGAAAGAUCUUGCCUGUUAACCUCUAGAGAAGGAGGGACGAUACAGACGUAAGUGGGCAUCAAACUUCAUGACCUUUGUGAGAGAGGGGCACCAUCAUGCCCAUCGAAUGAUUCUUGAGGAACAGAUUCAAAGUGGUCAUGAGCUGACCAUUGAUGAGAAUGUUGUGUGAGUUAAUGUUGUGUGAGUUAGUAAGGAGUGAUCCACUUCAGUCCCAACAAAUUGCUCUCGACCAAAAAGUGUAUUUCAACCAUUUCUAGAACGUUUUUACGUGAUUUGGGUCAUAAUACAUGUGGAUACUUCAUCAUUGUAUUGCCUUCCUGGUCCCCUCCCAGAGAGGAGAAUAUAGUGAAACAAUGAAUCUUCUCAUCAUAUGGUAGUCCAUUGUGCCAUCUUUAUAUAGAUAUUAAGUGAGAGAAGUGGUGUGAUUGACAGUGAUUGAUAGCAUGCACAGAUCUGGAUUCAGUCAGAUUUCCCAUGUUGAGGCUCACAGCAGAAAGGCCAGACUUUAGCUCUGUGGGAUAUGCACUGUCAAGAUGUAUCUGUAUUUCCAAGUAUUGUUCCUCCCUUAAUUCAUGGAUAUUGAUUACAUUAUUAUUGAAUCGAUGAAUAAGUCAAGACUAGUAUGACUGACUAAAAGCACAGACUUCCAGGUCUAUGAGGAGUGUGCAUGGGGUAUCUGAAUUCAGUGUCCCGAUUAAAUAUGGUCUGUGAGGUCUACUGUGUCUAUGGGAA